ensembl:snoRNA
CUGCAUUCUAAACCCUCCUGGCAGCCCUGCCAUUGGCUUCCAGGAUAAGAAUGAAUGCCAGAGAAAACUGUUGAUUAAUCCAAGAUGUAGAGCUCUUUUCCCAUGGCUCUUCAUCAUUUCACAUCUUCAACAUUU